UACGUAGGCAGCAAGCGUUGUUCGGAGUUACUGGGCGUAAAGGGUGCGUAGGCGGUUGUUUAAGUUUGGUGUGAAAUCUCCCGGCUCAACUGGGAGGGUGCGCCGAAUACUGAAUGACUAGAGUGCGGGAGAGGAGAGUGGAAUUCCUGGUGUAGCGGUGAAAUGCGUAGAUAUCAGGAGGAACACCGGUGGUGUAGACGGCUCUCUGGACCGAAACUGACGCUGAGGCACGAAAGCGUGGGUAGCAAACAGG
rnacentral:rRNA from 1 species